rnacentral:rRNA from 1 species
CAGCCGCCGCGGUAAUACGUAGGGCGCGAGCGUUAAUCGGAAUUACUGGGCGUAAAGCGUGCGCAGGCGGUUGUGUAAGACAGGUGCGAAAUCCCCGGGCUCAACCUGGGAAUGGCGCUUGUGACUGCAAAGCUAGAGUGCGGCAGAGGGGGAUGGAAUUCCGCGUGUAGCAGUGAAAUGCGUAGAUAUGCGGAGGAACACCGAUGGCGAAGGCAAUCCCCUGGGCCUGCACUGACGCUCAUGCACGAAAGCGUGGGGAGCAAACAGGAUUAGAUACCCGCGUAGUCCCUGUCUCUUAUAC